rnacentral:rRNA from 1 species
UAGGGAAUCUUCCACAAUGGAUGAAAGUCUGAUGGAGCAACGCCGCGUGAGUGAAGAAGGUUUUCGGAUCGUAAAGCUCUGUUGUUGGUGAAGAAGGAUAGAGGCAGUAACUGGUCUUUAUUUGACGGUAAUCAACCAGAAAGUCACGGCUAACUACGUGCCAGCAGCCGCGGUAAUACGUAGGUGGCAAGCGUUGUCCGGAUUUAUUGGGCGUAAAGCGAGCGCAGGCGGAAUGAUAAGUCUGAU